GAUGAACGCUGGCGGCGUGCCUAAUACAUGCAAGUCGAGCGAACGGACGAGAAGCUUGCUUCUCUGAUGUUAGCGGCGGACGGGUGAGUAACACGUGUAUAACCUACCUAUAAGACUGGGAUAACUUCGGGAAACCGUAGCUAAUACCGGAUAAUAUUUUGAACCGCAUGGUUCAAAAGUGAAAGACGGUCUUGCUGUCACUUAUAGAUGGAUCCGCGCUGCAUUAGCUAGUUGGUAAGGUAACGGCCUACCAAGGCAACGAUGCAUAGCCGACCUGAGAGGGUGAUCGGCCACACUGGAACUGAGACACGGUCCAGACUCCUACGGGACGCAGCAGUAGGGAAUCUUCCGCAGUGGGCGAAAACCUGACGGAGCAACGCCACGUGAGUGAUGAAGGUCUUCGGAUCGUAAUACUCUGUUAUUAGGGAAGAACAUAUGUGUAAGUAACUGUGCACAUCGUGACGGUACCUAAUCAGAAAGCCACGGCUAACUACGUG
rnacentral:rRNA from 1 species